UGUGAUAAGUGAUUGAUUACAUAAACAACUUAAGAUAUGACUAAGCUCACAUGAACACUCUUUUAUUAACUUUGUUGAUAUGUUAUCAUAACCACUAGAAUGCUUUGAUUUCAAGGACUUUAUGAUGGAUUCUAUUUCUUUGGGUGAAAGCCACAAUGUCACCCCUUGCACCACCUCAUCACUAUGAAAGGGAAGUCCUUGAAGCUGUUCUUUAUCUUCUGGAAACAGAUGAAAAUCGGAUGGUGCCAAAUCUGGGCUGUAUGGAGGAUGGUUGAUGACAGUGAACCCAAGGUGCUGCAGAUGUCACAGCUCUCAUGUGUGGUCUGGCAUUGUCAUGCUAAAGGAGAAAGUGCCCCAUCUGUGGACAAACUCUUUGAAUUUGAAACUCGAUUACAGCAUGGUGUUUCUCCACACCAAUACAGUCACCUUACACACCACCAUGUUACACACUGCAAUUCAGAGUCCUCUUGUGGUAGAGGGCUGCAAAUAUGUAGACAUGAGGAAUAAAGGUAUAGAAUGUUAA